rnacentral:rRNA from 1 species
AACGCGAAGAACCUUACCAAGGUUUGACAUGGGCCGUUUACCUCCAGAGAUGGGGGGUCCUUCGGGGCGGUUCACAGGUGGUGCAUGGCUGUCGUCAGCUCGUGUCGUGAGAUGUUGGGUUAAGUCCCGCAACGAGCGCAACCCUCGUCCUAUGUUGCCAGCAAGUCAUGUUGGGGACUCAUGGGAGACUGCCGGGGUCAACUCGGAGGAAGGUGGGGAUGACGUCAAGUCAUCAUGCCCCUUAUGUCUUGGGCUGCAAACAUGCUACAAUGGCCGGUACAAAGCGCUGCGAGCCUGUGAGGGUGAGCGAAUCGCGGAAAGCCGGUCUCAGUUCGGAUCGGGGUCUGCAACCCGGCCCCGUGAAGUCGGAGUCGCUAGUAAUCGCGGAUCAGCAACGCCGCGGUGAAUACGUUCCCGGGCCUUGUACACACCGAGACGUA